rnacentral:lncRNA from 1 species
AUUUAAGGGUUGGCAGUGGAGGUGACAGGGUCUUACUGGGGAACCCUGCCUGCUUGAAGCCUUCUAAAGCGGGGCUCUGUAUGAAGUGAUUGUGCUGUGACUGACCCAAAGUACAAGCCUUCCUCCUGCCUUAUCAAAGUGAAGUGAUUUUGUAAGAAGUUAUCAGUUCAGCAAGGCAUGAUGCAAAACUUGGGGAGUCUUCACAAGCAAUCUGGAGGAAUGAGUCUGCGGUAGAAAGGACAGUGCCUGUGAAAUUAUUACUUAAAACAGAGUCCAGAGUCUCAGGAUGUUAUCCUUGAGUGACCUGGGAAGGAGCGAACUCCUUCAUAGCUGAAGAGCAUGUGACGUUGACUGUUGUCAGGAAACUUGCAGCUGCAGGAUAACAGCCUGAAACUUUUUAAUGGGGAAGCUUCUUUUCUGUUGGCAUCCUUCUUUACUUUUAACUCAAAAGUCUCUGUAAUAUUCUGUGUUUUUAGCACUUUGGCGUUCUGAUUUCAUACUGCAAAACAGAUAAUUUGUAACUCUCCAGAUCUCACCAGUGCCUCCAAAGGAUGCGUGUUGCCUCACAGACAUUUUUUUUUUCCUCUUUUAUUUCUUUUUUCCAACACAUAAAGCUAUAAAC